rnacentral:rRNA from 19 species
CGCCUCCUGCUAAAAUUAUAGAAGGUCCAACCUGCCCAGUGAAUACUUCAACGGCCGCGGUACCCUGACCGUGCUAAGGUAGCGCAAUCACUUGCCCUUUAAUUGGGGGCUAGUAUGAAAGGUCAAACGAAAGUGAAACUGUCUCAUUAAAGCUACUAAAAAUUAACCUCCACGUGAAGAGGCCUGGACACCUAAGAAAGACGAGAAGACCCUGUCAAGCUUUACACCUAACUGCUUUCCACCUUUCCACGCAGAAAAAGUGUUUUGUUGGGGCAACACAGGAACAGAAACUUCCUCACAACAAACUUAUCUCCCCUAAAAAAUCCGGUAAACACCGAACAAAGACAAAGCUACUGCAGGGAUAACAGGCUAAUCUGCUUCGAGAGCCCACAUUGACAAGCAGGCUUGGCACCUCGAUGUUGGCUUAGGAACUCUUAUUGGAGCAGCCCCCAAUAAAAGAAGGUUUGUUCAACCUAUAACCUCCU